GCAUAUUUAAAUCACCACAGCCCCUGAGUGAUCUACCUGAGAGUCAUCUCCCCAGCUGUCAGGCGAUCACUUGGACCUGCGCCUCCUUGGAGGGACCUUAUUCUCUUUGAGGCCAUCCCUGGAGAGAGUUGAGGUGGCAUUUGGAGCCAGAAAGAGAAAGACGUCUGAGGCUCCUGAAGAUGCCCUUCUCAAGCCAGGGCAUUGUAUGUGACCCUGUUGGAGGCGAUGCCUGUGCUUAUCUGGACCUCACUUCUCCUUGUGGCAAAGGAAAAGAAAGGGAAGGAUCCUGUCACUUGCCUGAGGCUCCUGUGAAAAUUUUGCCGGAGAUGUGUUAGUUUCUAAAUACAGGGGUGCUGCUGGACCAGGGUUUCUUCCCUCCAGUCUUCCACGUAAACCCAACCUGAGCUUGAAUUUUCCUUCAUCUUCAGAGCUGUGUGUCCUCUGGUGAUAAAUGCAAAGGUACCCUGCCGUAUAAUUUUAUGUCAGCUCGACACAGGCUAGAGUCAUCUGAGAGACUGGAACUCCAAUUGAGAAAAUUCCUCCAUUA
rnacentral:lncRNA from 1 species